rnacentral:rRNA from 1 species
GACGAACGCUGGCGGCGUGCUUAACACAUGCAAGUCGAACGGUGAAGCUCCAGCUUGCUGGAGUGGAUCAGUGGCGAACGGGUGAGUAACACGUGAGCAACCUGCCCUUGACUUUGGAAUAAGCGCUGGAAACGGCGUCUAAUACUGGAUACGAGAAGGGUCCGCAUGGGCACUUUCUGGAAAGUUUUUCGGUUGGGGAUGGGCUCGCGGCCUAUCAGCUUGUUGGUGAGGUAAUGGCUCACCAAGGCGACGACGGGUAGCCGGCCUGAGAGGGCGACCGGCCACACUGGGACUGAGACACGGCCCAGACUCCUACGGGAGGCAGCAGUGGGGAAUAUUGCACAAUGGGCGAAAGCCUGAUGCAGCGACGCCACGUGAGGGAUGACGGCCUUCGGGUUGUAAACCUCUUUCGGCAGGGAAGAAGCGAAAGUGACGGUACCUGCAGAAGAAGCACCGGCUAACUACGUG